GUGGGGAAUUUUGCGCAAUGGGGGAAACCCUGACGCAGCAACGCCGCGUGAGUGAUGAAGGCCUUCGGGUCGUAAAGCUCUGUCAGAGGGGAAGAAAUGCAGGGGUGCUAAUAUCAUCUUUGCUUGACGGUACCCUCAAAGGAAGCACCGGCUAACUCCGUGCCAGCAGCCGCGGUAAUACGGAGGGUGCGAGCGUUGUUCGGAAUUAUUGGGCGUAAAGCGCGUGUAGGCGGUUUGGUAAGUCUGAUGUGAAAGCCCCGGGCUCAACCUGGGAAGUGCAUUGGAAACUGUCAGACUUGAAUACGGGAGAGGGUAGUGGAAUUCCUAGUGUAGGAGUGAAAUCCGUAGAUAUUAGGAGGAACACCGGUGGCGAAGGCGGCUUACUGGACAGAGACUGACGCUGAGGCGCGAAAGCGUGGGGAGCGAACAGGAUUAGAAACCCGGGUAGUCC
rnacentral:rRNA from 1 species